GACAGAGGCCACAAGCGUUAGGCGGAAUCACUGGGCUUAAAGCGUGUGUAGGCGGACCGUUAAGUGCCUUGUGAAAUCCCACGGCUCAACCGUGGAACGGCUGGGCAGACUGGCGGUCUUGAGCUGCCUAGGGGCGACUGGAACAAACGGUGGAGCGGUGAAAUGCGUAGAUAUCGUUUGGAACGCCAACGGUGAAAACAGGUCGCUGGGGGCAAGCUGACGCUGAGACACGAAAGCCAGGGGAGCAAACGGG
rnacentral:rRNA from 1 species